ACCAUCUAUCCAACAUCAUCUAUCCAUCUUCCAUCAUCAAACAUCUAUCCAUAAACCAUUCCAUCCCCUUUUAUCUUUUAGUUCCUGUGAUUAUUUUCAUUAAUCGUAAACUCAUUGUUUCUCUUUGUUUUCAGGUUAGUUUGGAUAGAAAGGGCUAGCAAGUCGGCCAACUUCACCAUCUUCCCGUCCGAUCUCAUCCUUAUCGAU
rnacentral:lncRNA from 1 species